rnacentral:rRNA from 1 species
UACGUAGGGCGCGAGCGUUGUCCGGAUUUAUUGGGCGUAAAGAGCUCGUAGGCGGCUUGUCGCGUCGACUGUGAAAUCCCGAGGCUCAACUUCGGGCUUGCAGUCGAUACGGGCAGGCUAGAGUUCGGUAGGGGAGACUGGAAUUCCUGGUGUAGCGGUGAAAUGCGCAGAUAUCAGGAGGAACACCGAUGGCGAAGGCAGGUCUCUGGGCCGAUACUGACGCUGAGGAGCGAAAGCGUGGGGAGCGAACCGG